UUGCGGCCAUCUUGGGAGCAGCCGGCCCCAUCUUAGGAGUGGCCCACCACCAUCUUGGGAGCUCUAAGAACAAAGACCUGCUGGUAACACUAUCUCUGGCCACCUAUCUCUGGCCUAUCUAUCUCUGGUUCCUAUCUCUGGCCAUGGCUUGAGCCAUUUGGGUGCAGUGAAGAACAGGAAACUGUAAAGAGUGGCAGCCCUGCUUCUACAUAAUGGAUGCCAAGGGAUUGGUUGCAUGAAAUGCUGAUUAUUUUGCCUUAUGAGCCACCCCUGGUAUGUGUAGGUAAGAAAAGUCCAGCACCUGGGAUAUUGCCCUAAGAGAGUGAGCAUCAUCAGGAAGGUCGAUCACAGGAGACUGCACAGCCAUGGACAGCAGGAGGGAGGUUGUCACCUGGGGAACUGGGGUGAAGGCAAAUUAGAGCAAGGAACUGACAAAGGAAGAUGAGGAGAUGCUGAAAUCAAAUACAUCCACAAUUUUUAUCUCUGACAAAAUGCAAUUCACAGAGGUCUUCUGGGUCAAGGGAGAGCUAUCUUUCCUCAAAAUCCUCAGAUGACUUGAAUGUAUGAAGAUGACCUGGCAAUUCAUCCUUGCUCACUGUUCCAGUGCUCCUACUAGUGAAAGCACUUAGGUGUUUGAAAUGACACCAAAGAAGCUCUUUCUGAGUUGGGAAAAAUUGGUAACAGUAUAACACCUGGUGAAUAUUAUCAUCAUUAUUAUUGGAACCCACUUUUUCUCCUAUAUCUAUUUUGCUCAUUUCCAUGGAGCUAAAGACAUUGUGAAUGAUAAAGUAGAGUGGAAACCUGACCAUCGUGGCCCCUUCAGACUAUACAGGAAAUGAGGUUAUCAGAAAUUCCUUUUAAUAAUGCAAAAGCAGAAAUGUUGAAACAAAGGCUUUGAUGAAUUAUAUUUUUAAGGCCAGACUGGUUCUCUGUGUUCAAAUAUAAGCAUGAAUUAGUUCCUUCACCAACAUAUUUGUACUGUUAUAUACACCAGUUUAUGUCUCCUCGUAGUAUGUGGUCCAUUAAAACUGAGAAACAUGACAGUGAAACUACUGAUUUUUGACCAUUUACCAUAGCAACUCAUCAUGAAAAAGAACACAUUGUAGCACUAAAUCAGACAAAUAUUGCAUCAUGGAGACAAUAAGGUUAUUAAGAAGAUUUUUUUCUCUAACUUUUAAAUAUUAGGAUGUUGUACUAUGAGUGAUUUUGAUGUAGAAGUUAGAGAAGCAAAUUCAAUUUAUCAGGAAAAUUGCCCUCAUAUUUUAAAGCAAGAAAUGGAUUAAACAAAGAGAUGUUUCAGAAAAAAUGUGAUCUCCUAACAACAGCACUAUAUAGUCUGUCUUUUUCCACCUUGACAAUCUACUUUCUGUCCUUUUUGUAUUCAUAAGAUCAAAAAAGUGGCAAUAAAUUGUUGCUUUUCCUA